rnacentral:lncRNA from 1 species
CUGUUCCUCAGGCUGUAGAUGAAAGGUUUCAGCAUGCGGGUGACCACGGUGUACAUCACGGAAGCAAUGAUGCCUUUGUCAUGAGAUUGGCCUGAUGAGGAGGAAAGGUAUAGUGCCAUCAUUGUCCCAUAGAAUAGAGACACCACAGAGAGGUGGGAGCCACAGGUGGGCCAGGCUUUGAGAUCCCUUUAAUAGAGGGGACCCUCAGAAUGGAGACCCCAAUGCGACCAUAGAUAUUAGGAUGCCACUCAGUGGCAAAAUGAGAAAUGCAGACAAUACAGUGAAUAUGACCAGCUCAUUGCGAGAGGUGUCUGAGGAGGACAACUGAAGCAGGGCAGCAAGGUCACAGAAGAAGUGGGGGAUGAUGUUAUCAGCACAGAAGGAUAGGUGAGCUAGGAAAAGGGUGUGGGUCAGGGUGAUGGCACAGGAGAGGAGCCAGCAUCCAUCCAACAGACAAAGACACAGCUCUUCUGUCAUGAUGAUGUAGUGUAGAAGGUGACAAAUGGCCACAUACCUGUCAUAGGACAUCACUACAAGAAGAAGGUUAUCAAUGCAAGAAAAAUAUGAAAUAAUACAUUUGUGUUAUAUAUUCUGCAUAAGGAAUGGAUUGAUCCUGAGCCUGCAUGUCCAUCAGCAUCUUAGGGAAAGUGACAGAGGAAUAGGAGACAUCCGUGAGGGCCAAGUGGCUGAGGAAGAAGUACAUGAGGGUGUGGAGGUGAGGGUCCAGCCUGAUGAGCAGGAUGAUGAGCAGGUUCCCCAGUGCCAUGGUCAGGUACAUGCCCAGGAACAAGGCAAAGAACACAUCCUGCCACUCUGGCUGGAUGGGGAGCCCCAGGAGGAGGAAUUUGGACAUGCUGCUCUGGUUUUCCCUCCUCAUGCUCCUCUCCCAUCUGCUGGGGAAGAAGGGGAGUGGGAAAUAUCAGAGACACUGAAGCCACACUCAUAGCCACCACAACAGGGCCUCUCUCUUUCUCAUGGAGAAAUGGAAUAACUGCCUACAUUUCUUUUAUCAAAUAGUGUUACCAAAGCAAGUGACACACCAUAAACAUGAUUCCUUUUGAUGAAAACCAGAGAAAAUUCAUUCUUUUAUCUUUUUAAUCAACCAUGUUUCUGAUGCUAUCCUACUAAAUGGACACAUGAGAUUAAAUAGGACUUAUGGGACCUCUUUCCUCAUGAUACUAACAAUUGAGAACACACCUGACAAAGGACUAGCUAAAUGAACCUGAAGCUAGACUUGCUGUGUAAUGAUUUUGGUCCCACCACACUCUCGCUGUAGGACUUAGGAUGCUAAAUUUCUCUUGGCCUCAGGUUGUGCCUCUAUAUUGUGAGAAUGCCAAUAUCACACCUUCAUAGAGUUAACAGGAAGGAUACGCAUUCAUUUGGCAUUAAUUUCUAAGAACACUGUCCUGCAUAAAAUAAACAUCAAAAUUGCAUAGUUUAAUUGUAUGAGAAAAUCCGCAUAACCUCCCCCCAAUAAAACAAUAUCAAAUUCAGGAAUUUAAUAAAGAAGUAUUAUGAGGUGGUCAGCUUAAAGGACCAAGAAGCUGACCUAAAAUUUAUGUUAACUUAUCUGAGCUCUCACAUGAUUAAAGUGAGUUCUGAGCUCAUAUCCUAUCACUGGGGUAGGUUCCCUGGUAGAAUUUGUCUUAAUGCACGUUUAUCUUUUUGCCAAAAAAGAAUCCUUACUUCAGUGCAUGAACCUCAUUCUAUCUCCAUCUACAUGGCUCACAUCUGGAUAUUCAUCAGUAGGAAGACACCUGAGAUCUGAGGUGGCAUCUGAGAGCUGAGCGAUCCUGAAGGAUUGGGGUGUCUAUUAGAAUUCAGUGAUCUGAAUGACCAGCACUCUUUCCCAAUACUGAUCUUCACACUGAUAAUAAUUCACAGUUAAUGACCACAAUGGAAAACAAAUACAUUUUUGCAUGAUUGCCUCACUGAAGUUUUCAAUAGUCUGAGGAAGGAGGAGUUCCUAUUAUGUUUCAGCAGGUUAAGGACCCCGGUUGUUGUCCCUGUGAGGAUGUGGGAACAACCCCAGCCCUUGCUCAGUGGGUUAAGCAUCCAGCAAUACCACAAGCAGCGGCAUAGGUUACAGAUGCGGCUCAGGUUUGACCCCUAGCCCCAGAACUUCCAGGUUUGGCUGUAAAAAAGAAAAUAAACAAAACUUCAUUAACAUCACACUCAGAAGGAAUAGAAAACUAGCUUGAUUAUAGAGUUAGUAACUGCUAUAGUCACAAUUCUCUCCCAUGUUAUUAAAAUAUAUGGGAAUCUUUGCUCCUAUGACCUUACAGUUCAUGCCUGUCUUUAGUUAGACAUAUAGGCAGGACCUGAAGAACCAUUUCAGGACAUGAAGGAGUGCUCCUGUUCAGAUAACUGUCCACACUCAUUUUCCUGCAGCCCUUUAGUUUAUCAAUGGCUUUCAUAUGCUUUCAACUUCAUUCAAUCCAUCAACCUUUAUUUCUGUCAGGGGAGUAGAGAAGACUGUGUUUUUUCCCUGCUUUCUACCAACAGGAGUAGUGAAAAAUACUUAGAAAAAUCUCACAUAGAUAUUUAAUAAGAGGCAGGAUCAAAGCCUGAUUUCCUUUCUUUUGGCUUGCUUUUUAGGGCUGCCCCUGUGCAAUAUGGGGGUCUGGAGGCUAGGAAUCAAUUUGGGGUUGCAUCUGCCCACCUACUUCACAGCCACAGCAACAAGGAAUCCACGCAGCAUCUGUGACCUACACCAGAGCUCACAAUAAUGUAUGAUACUUAACCCACUGAGUGAGGCCAGAAGUUGAACCCACAUCUUCAUGGAUACUAUUCGGGUUCAUAAUCUGCUGAGUUAAAACAGGAACUCCCUCAAAGAUUGAUUUUCUGAUCAUCUUUUCACUAGAGAGAGAAUCCACACAUUUCUUUUUAUGGGGGUUAGAGAAGAUAAAGUCAAAUGACAAGUGUGAACAGUUAAAGGUAAAUGUUAAAAUUUGCUUGGGGUAGAAAAUUUACAUUGUGUAAGAAUCUGCCAAUAGAUGCAUGCUCCAUACCAGGGAGUUUCUUAGGGUUAUUCGCUGACUCAGUUCAUAGAGCACAAGGAGGAAAAAGGUACUUGACCCUCCUGACAAACACAGGCUUCUCACUGAAAGCUGCUAGGUCAGACUUAGCCCAGGAUCUCACAGAUAUCCUACAGAAGAAUCAGAGCUCCUAAUGACACCCAGGAGCUGCAGUGUGAUCAAAAGAAAACAAUACAGAUGUGGUAUUUUUAUUCCAUCAGCGCUGCAUGCAAAGAGGUAGCUGGGGAAUGGCUCAAAAGUGAAAAGGAAACAGUGUGUGACCUAGGGGUGGUCCACUGAAAGAGAGACUAUGGAUGGGCUUGAUUUUCAUGUUUUCAUACAAAAUACUGUCCCCAGCACAAUAGGAAUUGGAGAGUCUAGUGUUUGGGUCUCCAAGAGGCUACAAUUUGCCAAGUGCUUACAAUGUGCCUCACUUCUUAAGCUCCUUACAGACAAGAUCUGUCAGCAGUUAGCAUGAUCCCAUGUAACAGUGCUGGAUGCUGGGAAUCACCAGGGCCAAACCCAAGGCCACCAAGCUAUUAACUGGGGAAAAGGAAAAGAUCUGAGUGUCAAAGAAUGGGAUUCCAGAAAUGGGCAUUUCAUUUCUAAACAGUUUUACUAAAGUGAAGCAGAGUGUCAAAAGUCUUGAGCUUUCAGGGGCCCUGCUGGAGGAGUCAAAUCACAGAAAAAUGGAUGUCAACAGCUCUGCAAAGUCAGUUUCCUAUGGAGCUGUGUGUGUGGAUUCUGUCUUCAGGCAGGUGGAGAGUAAAAAAUCAGAGAAUGUCACAUACUCACAAAAACAAAUAUUUCUUCUGUGUAGGACUCAAGGUGUGGGUUUGCUACAAAAAGGACUCACACACUAUCAUAGACACAUGCUUGCCCAAUGGAGAUUUAUAAAUUUCUCUGGCUCAUACUCUCACUAGGUAAAUACAGGCAAUGUGUGAGUCAGCUUCACACAAAUCUAUGCAAAACUCACAAACAAAAUACUCAUAUACAACACAGCUGCAUGCACAGAAAUAUCAAGCAUCCUAGACCAGAGUUGUUGUCAUCAAAAGUAGUCACUCCUAUUCGAAUCACAAGAAAUACACAAGGUCUUUUACACACAUCACACAAGCAGCAGAUGCAAGAAGAAUAAGCACACACUGAGGAAAUGUCCAGGCUUCUCUGACCUCUGUAUAUCCUACUAUGAGUCAUUCAGUGUGUUUGUCAGUUAUACAUACACACACAGACUCGUACAACACACACACACACACAUAUACAUAACUUCUCUGAUGGUCACACACAAUUACACAGACACAUAUGCAUGACUGGGGAGGUUUCUGGGCUCCUUCUGAGCUAUACCUGCGCUCUGAGUUCAAAUACUUUCUCCUACAUUCUGUUACCUGAAUCCUCAUUUUCUGUCCAGAAGACCCAGGAUCCAAAGAAAAGGAGCCAACCUUGGAGGCAUGAUGAUCUGUACACUGUCACAUCAGUUCUCCAGCUUCAGAACAAUGCACAAGUAUAUCUGCUUUCUCCAUUGUAAAGAAAUCCCAGAGGGAAUCCAUCCAAGGCCCCGACUAGAAAAGCCUUCCAAUGAGGCAACUGCCCAAUUCCCUCAUGGCCUCUCAGGAAGGAGGAUGAUUAGGGUCCACAAAGGCUAAGUUGUACCUGGUUUCGCAUGAGAAAGUGUCCCUGAUAUAAGUGGUACCUUGAGCUUUUGGUCAAGUCUCUGACAAGAAGUAGGAGUGCCCCCAUUGUCAGUGGCCUCUGCAUCAUGAGCACAGCUUCUCCCAGGCAGUGCAAGGGCUUCUGCAGGUUCCCCAACACCAACACAGGCUCUUAUUAGAACACAAAGCCCCUUAAAAUGUGCAUCUCUCCCCACUCCCCUGAAAGGUUUUGUAAGGUACAAUUUAUAUCUUGUUCAGGGGAAGGGGUGUUGAAUAUAAAACACUCAAAAUAAAAGACUGUGGAUUCUUCCCCUACUAAGAAAGCAUACUUGACCAAUUUAUCAAAUACUACCAACACUCAAAGUGGAAAUAAUAAUCAUAGUCUUAAUGUAACUUUGAGGGAUGGUUAAAUGAGAACCUAAUACAAGCUUACUAAAUGCUAAGGUUUAUUGUCAAUGUUUUGUAUCACUAGAGAUCAGUUAUGGCUCACAAGAGGCAAGUGUGAUUGGUAACUCUUGAUUGAAUACAUAUGUUCAAUCAUUCAUUCAUUGACUUACAUAAACACGAAUGUUCUCAUAAGUGUAACACUGAUAUAUUGUCCAGAGACAUAACACCAAAAAACAUAAACAAAAAUCCCUCAUUUAGAACACACAUCCAAACUGGAUGUGG